AAAUAGCAUCAAAUCAAAUAACAUGUUAUCUGAAAUAAUAUUUAAAAUAAUGUCAUGUCAAAUGUGCCCUGACCUGCUCUCAAUAGAACCGAACCGAUCUCUCUCGCAUUGCUUCGCAUUGUGGCCAUAAAUUACGCGUGACACCGCUCCGUACCGCGGGACAAAAAUACUGCCCUUCACAAAACAAAUUAGUCGAAAACAAAGGGUCCGUUUUUUUCCGAUCCCUCGACCGUGCACCGCGCCCUCUGUGUUUUCGCGAUUCUUAUUCGUGCAAGCAGAUCGAGAUUUUACUGAAUGAGAGCGAUUUGGCUCGCUCCCCUCCGGCCACUCUCCGCGCUGCAUCUACGCCGUACUCAAAUGACACUGAAAGCGCGGAUGCAGAGAGCUCCCCGACCGAAAUCAAUACUCACGUUGGCCUACUACGUCGUGGCCUUCUUUUCACCUAAUCUAUUUGCCGCGAGGGACAAUAAACUGUCGGCCGAGGCGGGGACUCGCUCGCUGAUCGCGGAGGAUCAAUUAAAUCUUGCUCGUUAACGAUCCUCGCGCAGCAUUAUUCGUAUCCUCGUGCGUCGCGGCUAUAUUUAAUUAAUCAAUGGAGAACGUAAAGCGACUCCGGGAGUAACUAUUUUCAGUGCAAACGUUCCGUCUGUCUGUUCAUUCUGACAUUGUGCAGUUGCGAGUGCAGCGACGAAGACCAGCUAACUAUCUGUUUGAUUCGAGACAAUGCGCAUACGCCGACGCACAUCUCCCAGUCUUCGAAAUAUUUUUCAAACGCUGAAGAAGGUACAGUAAUUUCUCCCUAAUUAGCGAUAUGAUCGCGCACAAAAAUGGACAAUUUGGGAAGAGGAGGUACGAUUAUUCGAGUCUCGCGACUCGUUUUUAUGGUUACUCGUUUUGUGAUUCGCAUAACCAAGCUUCAAUCGACUCGAAACGCCUCAUUCGAAGUUGUAAUUCGAGUUCGCGAAAUAAAAGAAAGUCGCACGUGAUCGUAUCUGAUGAAUACGGAGUUUGAUCGAUGUUGUUUGUUGAAUUUUUCGCCAAAAAUUCACGUAACAAGAUUGCCGCGUGCAACGGAGCAUUAUCUUGACGGAAAAUCCAAGAAUCGUAUUUGCGCAAAUCUGGCUGUUUCUGACGAAUAUAUUCACGCAAAUGCAACGUGACGCUCGUAUAAUAUUAUUUAUUGACCGUUUGUGUAUUCGGAAGAAAUUCCGAAUGAACAACAUCACGCUAAUCGAAAAAAAACAGUGAGCCUGACCUAGACUCUCGAAGGACUUGACACAGUUUUUGAGUUUUCUCGUGCGUUUUCCUCGUCGAAGCAAUAUUCCGAAGAUUGUUGACUCGUUUGCAUGUUGUUCCCAUAAAGCCAUGUUUCAUCACCUGCUAUGAACGUGGACGUACAGUCGCUACAAGCCGACACAAGAAAUUUCGUUGGAAACGCAAAAAUUAACCCUUUACACUCCACUGACGACUCCAUCUCAUCGCACAAAAUUGAGAUCGACUCGCUAUGCCAAGAGUCAUCAUCCCGGUGUCAUAUACGAAUAAAUGUCUACUGAUCACUUCAAUGCCUGCUCAUUUCUUAUCUUCCCUCGGACGAGAUUGUAUUGUAAUUAAACGGUUAAUCUCCGAAGACAAAUAGACAAAUAGACUUUAAGCUGGAUGAAUGCUUAGAACCGUUUAGUAUGGCUUCUUGAGGGGAGAACAGUCGUCGUAGGAGGUCCAUCUCGAGAGAAACGUAGAGAAACGUAAAACUUUCCAUUCGGAAAUUUCGCAAGUUGAUACGUUCUGCCAGCGCGCGGCAAUUGCUAAUUAGAGGCGCGAAUGAUUUUUAAUACGUUUUAAUCUGAUUUUUAAUCUGUUAAUAAAUGCGACCCUCGAGAAAUAGCUGAACAAUCGAAACAUUGCCUUCCGGACGAAGAGUGUUUAGAGAACGGAAGAUGUUUUCCUCACAUAAUUAGAUCAUUUAUACAAAAUUUAAAUAACGGGAAAUGUGAACAAUAUAUUCCGAUCUUAUUGUCGCGUACAUAAGGUAUUGGUAUUAAUAUAAUCAUGUAUAAUUAAUUAUGUAUAAGGUAUUAAUAUUAUUAUGUACCUACAAUUUUUUUAUGUACCUACCAAAUUAUAUCUUUGUGACUUUACAUUUCCAAUUUUGAGAAAUCAUAAAAAUUGACUGAGAAAUAAUGCAGUGACUUUUUUGUCUUUCUGACUAAUUUAUUAUCGUUGAAUUUAUUCUACUUUAAGAUCGUCAAUUCAAAUUUAAUAUAUUGUAAUAAGUUUUUCAUAGAAACUCGUUUUCUUUGUGGUCAACUCAAGCGGAAAUUACCUUGUCACGAGGCAAGUUGUUAACGCUGUGGGGUCAAUGUUACUUUAUAAUGAGAUAUUUCAUUCUCUGACGAAAUAAAACACAAUUUUAUUAAUAAA